CUUGACGCAAACCGUUCUGUAGAAAAUAUUUAUCGCUGCACAGAAACCAGUGCAAAAACUCGGCGAAAUUCUUUUCUUGCUCAACAACGACGGAUAGCGGAUUUAAUUCUCUCUCAUUUCUUGUUUGAUUCUUUUAUAAAACCUACGCUAUCUCUUUCAAUUUUCUAUUAUCACUUUUUUGGCUCCAAAAUGGGAAGAUACGGUUGGCUAACAGCUCUAUCUCGUCGGCAUUUGCUGUCAUCCGCGGCUGUAGAACGGGCCGUCGGUGGAGGAGAUUGGCACCGGAAAGUCUCUACAUUGCGCCGAGACCUUUUUUGGGAUGGAUUUCUGUACAGUUAUAGUUUUGCUAUUGGGAAAAGUAAUAGUUCUGGGAAAGCUGAAAUACAGUUGAUGAACUGCAGAUAUAUUCAUUCCACAGGAACUUGCAAUGCUAAGGAAUCAAGUUACUAUGAAAUUCUUGGUGUUCCUGAAAAUGCGAGCCAAGAUGAGAUCAAAAGAGCUUUUCGUUCACUUGCCAAGCAGUACCAUCCAGAUGCAAAUAAGAAUAAUCCUUCUACAAAGAGGAAAUUUCAAGAGAUCAGAGAAGCCUAUGAGGUAUUGAAAGAUUCUGAGAAGAGGGCAGACUAUGAUGGGAGGCAUGCUAGAAGUUCAGAGAAGGUAGAAUAUGGUGCAAAUCGUGCAGAUUGGUUUGGGUAUGAUGCUGAUGAUGCAGCAAAGUUUAGAUCUGGUGCUGCAAAUGCAGGGGGGUUUACAUAUUCUUAUCGAAGUAACUUCUCUGAUUCAUUCCAAAAAAUAUUCUCCGAGAUCUUUGAAGAUGAGACCAAUCAGUUUGCAUCUGACAUUCAGGUGGAGCUACUACUCACUUUUACUGAAGCUGCAAGGGGAUGCACAAAGAACCUGUCCUUUGAUGCGUAUGUUCCUUGUGAUUCAUGUGAUGGUCGUGGCUUUCCAGUUGAAGCCAAAACAAGAGUUUGCCCAACUUGCAGAGGCAUAGGAAAAAUUACAAUUCCUCCAUUUACCUCAAAUUGCAGCACUUGUAAAGGGUCAGGCCGAAUCAUUAAGGAUUACUGUAUGUCAUGCGGAGGAUCAGGGGUGGUUGAAGGUGUUAGAGAAGUGAAAGUUACAAUACCAGCAGGGGUUGAUUCUGGAGAUACAAUCCGUGUUCCAGAAGCUGGUAAUACUGGGGGACGAGGACAUCAACCUGGCAACUUAUUCAUUAAUCUUAAGAUUGCUGAUGAUCCUGUCUUUACUAGAGAUGGUGCAGAUGUCUAUGUGGAUGCUAAUAUUAGCUUCACCCAAGCCAUCCUUGGCGGUAAGAUUGACAUUCCAACUUUGUCGGGAAAAUACCAAGUAAAGAUACCAAAGGGAGUUCAGCCUGGACAACUUAUAGUACUAAGAGGCAAAGGGCUACCAAAGCAUGGUUUCCACAGGGACCAUGGAGACCAAUUUGUGCGGUUUUGCAUCAACUUCCCCACUGAAAUAAAUGAACGGCAACGUGCUAUACUGGAGGAACUUGCUCUGGAGGAGAUAAAAAAUGGAAAUGGUACCUCAAUUGAAGGAAAUUGGUGGCAGCGUUUUCUUGAGCACGUGAAGGGACCUACAUUUAUGCUUGAAUUUUCUCUAUUCAUGUUGGCCUUGCUGUUCCUUCACAAAAUCAUUGGAUGAAUUCUGAACCAAGAUGACCUUCCGUGGGAAUAUGUACACCAAAAUAUUCAUUCAUAUAUUGAAUUCAUCUUUAAUGGGGGAGGUCUACUGUUAGAAGACUAGGCUUAGAGGAAAUGGACACUGUACAAAUCCAUGUUUCGCAGGAGUGAAGUGGAAUGAUUACUUUCUCUUACUGGGCGACACCUCAAGAAUCAAUUUGGCUGGCGUUACAUUUCGUUAGUGAUGUAAUUACCAAAGAUUGAUAUAAAUAUACUCGAUUAUUUCUUCUUUUUUUUCCGAAAUUAUAGAAAUAGGCAAAUAAAAGAGCAUAAAUGCGUUGCACUUACUUUUAGAUAGUUUAGCCUUUAUCACUCGGUUAAGCUGUCAUUGUUGAGAAAAUUUGGAUCCUUGCAAGCAAAUUCCAGUAAUACAAGGACUGGAAUUCUUUCUUUC